rnacentral:tRNA from 2 species
GGCCCCAUCGUCUAGAGGCCUAGGACGUAGCCCUCUCAAGGCUAAAACACGGGUUCGAAUCCCGUUGGGGCCACCA